UACGAAGGGGGCUAGCGUUGCUCGGAAUGACUGGGCGUAAAGGGCGCGUAGGCGGUGUGGCAAGUCGGGAGUGAAAUCUCUGGGCUCAACUCAGAGACUGCUUCCGAAACUGCUGUGCUGGAGUGUGGGAGAGGCGCGUGGAAUUGCAGGUGUAGCGGUGAAAUGCGUAGAUAUCUGGAGGAACACCGGUGGCGAAGGCGGCAUCCUGGACCAACACUGACACUGAGGAGCGAAAGCCAGGGGAGCAAACGGG
rnacentral:rRNA from 1 species